CUGCACCUGCUCCUGCAUCUGCAUCUGCAUCUGCACCUGCUUCUGCAUCUGCACCUGCUCCUGCACCUGCACAUGUACCUGCUCCCA
rnacentral:miRNA from 1 species